UACGGGGGGGAGCAAGCGUUGUUCGGAUUUACUGGGCGUAAAGGGCGCGUAGGCGGUCAGCACAAGUCAGUUGUGAAAUCUCCGGGCUUAACUCGGAAAGGUCAACUGAUACUGUGCGACUAGAGUGCAGAAGGGGCAACUGGAAUUCUCGGUGUAGCGGUGAAAUGCGUAGAUAUCGAGAGGAACACCAGUGGCGAAGGCGGCGACCUGGACGGACACUGACGCUGAGACGCGAAAAGCGUGGGGGAGCGAACAGG
rnacentral:rRNA from 1 species